GAAAAGCACCCCGGGAGGGGAGUGAAAUAGAACCUGAAACCGUGUGCCUACAACAAGUUCGAGCCCGUUAAUGGGUGAGAGCGUGCCUUUUGUAGAAUGAACCGGCGAGUUACGUUAUGAUGCGAGGUUAAGUUGAAGAGACGGAGCCGUAGGGAAACCGAGUCUGAAUAGGGCGAUUAGUUGCAUGUCGUAGACCCGAAACGGGAUGAGCUUACCAUGGGCAGGUUGAAGCGAGGGUAAAACCUCGUGGAGGACCGAACCCGUUAAGGUUGAAAACUUUUGGGAUGACCUGUGGUAAGGGGUGAAAGGCCAAUCAAAUUCCGUGAUAGCUGGUUCUCUCCGAAAUGCAUUUAGGUGCAGCGUCUAAUGAAUACCGUCGGGGGUAUAGCACUGAAUUGGCUAGGGGGCUUACCGGCUUACCAAACCAUAUCAAACUCAGAAUACCGACGAGUACUGUUAGGCAGUGAGACUGCGGAUGCUAAGGUCCGUAGUCGAAAGGGAAAGAGCCCAGACCAUCAGCUAAGGUCCCUAAAUCGUGUCUAAGUGGCGAAGGUUGUGGAACUACUUUGACAUCCAGGAGGUUGGCUUAGAAGCAGCCAUCCUUGAAAGAGUGCGUAAUAGCUCACUGGUCAAGUGAUUCCGCGCCGACAAUGUAACGGGGCUCAAGCACACCACCGAAGUUGUAGAUUUCGCACUAUAGACAAGCCUUCGUGGUUCAGUCGUGCGGAGUGGUAGGAGAGCGUCGUGUGGCGAGUGAAGCGGCGGAGUGAUCCAGCCGUGGACGCUACACGAGUGAGAAUGCAGGCAUGAGUAGCGAAAGACGGGUGAGAAACCCGUCCUCCGAAAGACCAAGGGUUCCAGGGUCAAGCUAAUCUGCCCUGGGUAAGUCGGGACCUAAGGCGAGGCCGACAGGCGUAGUCGAUGGACAACGGGUUGAUAUUCCCGUACCGGCGAAGAACCGCCCAAGUCAAUCCAGUAAUGCUAAGCACCUGAAUACCACGGGUUCUCCUUCGGGAGUCUCCGUGGGGCUAGCGUGCGACCCUAUGCUGGUGCGGCUAACGUAUUAACAGGUGUGACGCAGGAAGGUAGCUGAGCCAGGCGAUGGUAUCCGUAAGGUGAACCUGGUGUAAGGAUGUAGGGCUGACGAUAGGCAAAUCCGUCGUCUGUGUGCCUGAGAUCCGACGCGUACCCGUAAGGGGAAAUCAGUGAUCCUAUGCUGCCGAGAAAAGCAUCGACGCGAGGUUGCAGCCGCCCGUACCCGAAACCGACUCAGGUGGUCAGGUAGAGAAUACCAAGGAGAUCGAGAGAAUCGUGGUUAAGGAACUCGGCAAAAUGCCCCCGUAACUUCGGGAGAAGGGGGGCCCAGCGCGUAUUAGAACUUGCUUCGAAAGCGUGUGUGGGCCGCAGAGACCAGUGGGUAGCGACUGUUUAUUAAAAACAC
rnacentral:rRNA from 1 species